GUGAAAAAAAUUAUUUUUCUUUUUCAAAAAAGGCACCUAAUUAUAAAAAUUUUGAGCUAUCAUCACCUGUGCAAUAGCUUAUGUUAUAGAGAAAGUUUUAAAAAAUGCAAUAAGAAAAUUAAUUUAGAAAGAAAUUAAAAGAUAAAUCUUGCUUAUGAAAAAAAAAGUGGAAAAGGGAAUUGUUCUUUCAUAUAUUUAUGAACAAGAUAAUGUAUUGAUAAGACUGUUGGGUCACAACCCAAUGACAGUCUAUUCUGAAUAUUCGUUGAUCAACUGUGUUAGUUUUUUUGGAGCCUCGUCCGAGAUGUUGAACCCUUCAAACGGGUAAUUCUUCCGUUCUCCCAAACUGAUAGACUCUACUUUUUCUUCAUUUUUAGAAGCAGUUGAUGGAUUAUCAACUGUCAUAUUAUGCUCUUCGGCUGUAGCUAUGAAUUCCACCUGCAAAGCCAAAAUUGUCAAUGCUAAGUAGAGAUAUACAACAGAUUUUCCAUGUGUUGCAACAGAUGAGUCUUAUUUUGCAUCAGAUGGAUUGUCUGUUGGGACAAAUUCGAACAGAUGAUGUACAUUCACCUUCUUCAGCUCAUGCUGCUCUUCUGUGGCCCUUGCACACUGAACAUCGGUGCAAGACAAAGACAGAGGCAUUACAAUAUUGCUUUUUUUGAUGAUUGAUGAUGCCUUGGAAGUGUCUUUCCUUCUCCUCUUAGUCGCCUUGAUCUCUAGUAGAGUGUCUGGAUAUGAAAUCCUCUUUGAUGGAAUGACGCCUCUCUUAGAUGUCAUUUUCUUUACAGAAGAAGUUAGUGCAUUAAUAGCAUUAAUCACUCCACCGUGUUUCGCCUUGCAGUCUUGACAUUUGCAUGAGGAAUAUUCACUAGAUGCGGUAAAAUCUAGAGAAAAAUCUGUACAACUAUUAUGAUCAUAAUCAUAAUGGCUUCUUGUUUUAAAAACUGUAAGAGGAGCGUCAUUAGCCCAACCCUCCAAAAUUAUUUUUCUUGUGAUGGA